rnacentral:rRNA from 1 species
CAGCCGCCGCGGUAAUACCGGCGGCCCGAGUGGCGGUCACUAUUAUUGGGCUUAAAGCGUCCGUAGCCGGGUUGGGAAGUCCUCCGGGAAAUCUGGCCGCUUAACGGUCAGAAUGCCGGAGGAUACUCCCAGCCUAGGGAGCGGGAGAGGCCGAGGGUAUUCCCGGAGUAGGGGUGAAAUCCUAUAAUCCCGGGAGGACCACCUGUUGCGAAGGCGCUCGGCUGGAACGCGUCCGACGGUGAGGGACGAAGGCCAGGGGAGCAAACCGGAUUAGAUACCCGGGUAGUCCUGGCUGUAAACGAUGCGGACUUUGUGUCGGACAAGCUAUGAGCUUGUCCGGUGCCGGAGGGAAACCGUUAAGUCCGCCGCCUGGGGAGUACGGCCGCAAGGCUGAAACUUAAAGGAAUUGGCGGG